CGCGAACUCAAGUGCACGUCAGCGAGAAACUGUGUGGUCGAAUCAUCGAUUCUUGUCAGCCAGAUUUAGGGAGGGAGAAGAAAAAGAAAAAUGCCCAAAAGCUCAUGGAAAAUUGAAGAGACGAGAGGUCGACGGGAUCGAACUUGGAGGGAUUGGCAGCCCAAGUCGAAUUGUGCAAGAUACAGCUGCUUGAUUGCGUGCCCAACGUGCCGAUUGGAUGUGUCCCGAUGCCCGAUUUAUGACUGCCGCUCCGUACCGACCAGAGUGCUCCCUACAGUUUACUCACGGUGAUUGAAAAGUUAGAAGUCGCAGGAAUGGCAUCGAAGCAAGCCCAUCCGCACGGCCGCUUAAGUUUCUCGCUACUUUGGAUAAUAGACACGAGGAGGUGGUAGAAUGACCGUCAUGUCGGAGCGCCUCAUCAUCAUCACGAUUGCACGAGGUGGCUGCAACCGUUGAGGCUGCAACAGCAGCUGGUUAGUAGUUAUUGUCGACAAGAUUUUUUCUCUUUCGUUUUUUUUUUUUUUUUGUGUGGAGUCAUCGGGUGUGUCCCCUCUUGUCUUCGUUCCUUUUUUUUCUCCCUUCAACGACGUGGAUAACAGACAGAACCUGAGAGUUGAAAGACGAACAACACAAAACAUAAUAGACAAAA